rnacentral:rRNA from 1 species
GACGAACGCUGGCGGCGUGCCUAAUACAUGCAAGUCGAACGAGUGGCGCACGGGUGGUUAAUGUAUAGCUAAUCUGCCCUACACUCGAGGCCAACAGUUGGAAACGGCUUCUAAUACUCUAUAGUGUAGGAUGAUGCUAUAUUGUAUCAGCUAGUUGCUGAGGUAAUGGCUCACCAAGGCUAUGACGCAUAACUGGUCUGAGAGGAUGAUCAGUCACACUGGAACUGAGACACGGUCCAGACGCCUACGGGAGGGAGCAGUAGGGAAUAUUGCUCAAUGGGGGAAACCCUGAAGCAGCAACGCCGCGUGGAGGAUGACACUUUUCGGAGCGGAAACUCCUUUUGUUAGGGAAGCGGUACCUAACGAAUAAGCACUGGCUAACUCCGUGCCAGCAGCCGCGGUAAUAC